ensembl:lncRNA
CCCUCUCUCUCCCUCUCUCUCCCUCUGUCUCCUCUCUCUCUUUCUCUCUUACACACACACACACACACACACACACACACACCCCUCAGUCCUCAAGAUUGAGCCUAAGGGUUCACUCAUGCUAUCCUGCAAGUAGACUUACUGGUUCUGCACAUCUAACCUGAGAUUAAAGAGGACCCUGAAGAUUCAUGGGCUAGCCUGUCUUAAACAAACACCGGUCAGUUUAUAUAGUACGAUGAAUUAUCAGGAGCUCUUGCUCCACACCAGGAAGGACCAGUGCAGCAGCUGUGGCCCAGAGAAGGAAGUAGGCGAAAAGGAAGACACCACAGCCUGCCUGCAUAGACCAGGCAGGGUGAGGAUCCAGCAGAAGCUCCUCCUGCCUUGGUCUUCUUUGACAGUCAGUCGGUCUACACGUUCCACUCUCUUCUUGCUGUAUUCUGUGACGCUGCAACCUUGGGGACUUUCUCGUACCUCCCAGAGGCUGGAGAACGUGCUGCCUUUGAAACCGUUCCUUGCUUCUCAAGAGGAACCCGCUGCCAGCAGUGAAGCCUCUAGUGGUUUUUAUUCUACUCUAAGCACAUGCAGUAAACCAUGCAGGAAGUUCUGUAUGCACACUGGAAUUGGAGGAAAAGUCACAAUUACUACUAACUCAAUGUAAGAAUUUCUACUGAGACUAUCCUGUAGUAACCUUUUCUGUAAAGGAUUAUGUGUUGAAUACAUUAGACACUGUGGCCAAUCACAGAUAAUAUGUAAUGAUUGAACCUAGCUGCAUUCUAAUAUUUUUAAAGGCAAAUGGGCUCCAGCUUCUGAAUCCUGGUAGGGAAAUUUCAUUUCUUCAUGUUUAGAUGGGUCAAAAUUAUUUUAAUCAAGAGAAAUGAAACAUUGUUGUUGCAUGCUCUUUAGCCAAUUUAAAUUGGACUAUUUCUAUAAAUCUCAAACAUUAUUAUUUUGUCUUAAAAAUGUUCGCUUGUGGGGAGAGGGGAAAAUGUCUGCAGUCCAAUGUCAUCCUUUCCUGAACAUGGAGUGGAAAAUAUUUAUUAAAAGUGGG